GCUUACGAUAACGAGAGUGGAGCGAGUGAGAUCUGGAUCUGGAUCUGAAGAGAGCAGUACACACUCUCAUCUAUAACUAUUAUAUUUCAUGGCUGCUCCUAAUCCUACUCCCUUGCUGUCUCAAUGUGACAGGAGCGAGCAGGAGCCGAUCGUCUUGUGUGUAUACAUAACAGAAAGAACACGAAAAAGUUAUGGAUUUUGACACGAACAUCUUAAGAAAUGUUGAUGCAGAUGGAAAGUUACAAUGGACUGAAGUAAUAACAACAUUAUUGUUGUCAGAAAUUGAUUGUCGUCAAAAAGAUUUUAACACACAACCAAGAAUGUAUGGAAACGAAUUUGUGCUACCAUAAAUGAAUUUGGAUAUAAUAUAACAGCAGAAUAGUGUUGUUCAAAAUGGAAAAGUUUGAGGAAAAAGUACAAACAAAUCAAGGAUAACAAUCGUAAGGGCGCGGCAAUGCAACAGUGGGUCCACUUUGAGACUUGAUAAUAUUUUAAAAUUAGGCCAGAAAUUAACCUAGUAUCAUUUUCUUCAAAUAUUAAUGGAUUUCAUAUCCGCGAAAUUGAAGAAGUUGGAAAUAAUGAUAUUAAUGAAAAUGAAAAUGUUAAUGUUAAUGGAAAUGAUGUUAAUGAAACUGUUAAUGAAAAGAGUAGGACAAAUGUAGGAUCGAUAAAUAGAAAUGCAAUUAACAAUAUACCAAUUUAUAGAAGAAGGUCAAGAUUAGAACCAUAUUCGUUCGCGAAAUACCGCGAACAAAAAAAACGACACCAUCAACGAGAUUAUUUACAAAAAGAACGUUUUUUGAAUAUUCUUGUAGAACAUAAAAUCAACUUACAAAAAUAACAUUUUUGCGGAUAUGCAAUUAGCGUUGGAAGUUUUCCGUUUUUCUUUGUGAAAUAGAAAUUUAAAAAAUCAUCUAUUAAUAUUUUACGCAUACAUUACGCAUAUAUUUUACAGCAUACGCGCGAAUUACAUUUAAUAACAAUACAUUUAAUUACAACAGUUAAGUUACUAACUAAGUUAACAGUUUAUUAGGUUUAUUAGUCAUUAGAUUAUUAGUUAAAUACUAAAUACUGGGAAUUGAGAGUCUAAAUUUAUGGUAAGAAUAGGGUUUUUACAGGGCCAUAUUUUGGUAAAAAAAUCAGGCCUGUAUCUCUAGCCGUUUAGGAGAUAUCGAAGGUUAAAGUUUUCCAAACUCUACCAUCGAUAUCUCCGCUUCUACUGGGAGCUGAGAGUAGAAAGUUAUAGUGGGUGGUAGGGUUUUUACAGCCCUAUAUUUUGGUGCAAAAAACAGGCCUGUAUCUCUAGCCGUUUAGGAGAUAUCGAAGGUUAAAUUAUUCCAAAUUAUACCGUUGAUGUCUCCGCUUCUACCGGGAGUUGAAAGUAGAAAGUCAUGGUGGGUUGUAGGGUUUUUACAGCACUAUAUUUUCGUGCAAAAAACAGGCCUGUAUCUCUAGCCGUUUAGGAGGUAUCGCAGGUUAAAAUUUUCCAAUUUAUACUGUUGAUAUCUCCGCUUCUACUGGGAGUUGAGAGUAGAAAGUUAUGGUGGGUUGUAGGGUUUUUACAACACUAUAUUUUGGUGCAAAAGACAGACCUGUAUCUCUAGCCGUUUAGAAGAUAUCGAAGGUUAAAGAUUUCCAAAUUAUACCGUUGAUAUCUCCGCUUCUACUGGGAGUUGAGAGUAGAAAGUUAUGGUGGGUUGUAGGGUUUUUACAACACUAUAUUUUGGUGCAAAAUACUGGCCUGUAUCUCUAGCCAUUUAGGAGAUAUCGAAGGUUAAAGAUUUCCAAUUUGUACCGUUGAUAUCUCCGCUUCUACUGGGAGUUGAGAGUAGAAAUGUAUGGUGGGUUGUAUGGUUUUUACAACACUAUAUUUUGGUGUAAAAAACAGGCCUGUAUCUCUAACCGUUUAGGAGGUAUCGCAGGUUAAAAUUUUCCAAUUUAUACUGUUGAUAUCUCCGCUUCUACUAGGAGUUGAGAGUGGAAAGUUAUGGUGUGUUGUAGGGUAUUUACAGCACUAUAUUUUGGUGCAAAAAACAAGCCAGUAUCUCUAACCGUUUAGGAGAUAUCGAGGGUUUAAGUUUUCCAACUUGUACCGUUGAUAUAUCCGCUUCUACUGGGAAUUGAGAGUCGAAAUUUAUAGUGAGAAUAGUGUUUUUGCAGGACUAUAUUUGAUGCAAAAACAGGCCUGUAUCUCUAGCCGUUUAGGAGAUAUCGAAGUAUUCCAAAUUGUACCGUUGAUGUCUCCGCUUCUACCGGGAGUUGAGAGUAGAAAGUUGUGGUGGGUUGUAGGGUUUUUACAGCACUACAUUUUGGUGAAAAAAACAGGCCUGUAUCUAGCCGUUUAGGAGAUACCGAAGGUUAAAAUUUUCUAAACUGUACCGUUGAUAUCUCUGCUUCUAUUGGGAGUUGAGAGUAGAAAGUUAUGGUGGGUUGUAGGGUUUUUACAGCACUAUAUUUUCGUGCAAAAAACAGGCCUGUAUCUCUAGCCAUUUAGGAGAUAUCGAAGGUUAAAUAUUUUCAAAUUGUACCGUUCAUAUCUCCGCUUCUACCGGGAGUUGAGAGUAGAAAGUUGUGGUGGGUUGUAGGGUUUUUACAGCCCUAUAUUUUGGUGCAAAAAACAGGCCUGUAUCUCUAGCCGUUUAGGAGGUAUCGAAGGUUAAAAUUUUCCAAUUUAUACCGUUGAUAUCACCGCUUCUACUGGGAGUUGAGAGUAGAAAGCUAUGGUGGGUUGUAGGGUAUUUACAGCACUAUAUUUUAAUGCAAAAAACAGGCCUGUAUCUUUAGCCGUUUAGGAGAUAUCGAAAGUUAAAGUUUUCCAACUUGUACCGUUAAUAUCUCCGCUUCUACUGGGAAUUGAGAGUCGAGAUUCAGGGUGAGAUUAGGUUUGGUACAGGACUAUAUUGUGAAAGAUAAACGUGUCUGUGUCUUGAGCCGUUUAGGAUAUGCCGAAGGUUACAUAUUUAAGUUUUAAUUAUAUUUUAAUUUAAUUUUUAAAUUUUAAUGUUGAUAUCUUGGUUUCUAGUGGGAAUGUUCCCUUGGUUUCUAGCGGAAUGUUCCCGAGAAGCGCUUUUGACAUAAACGCUGGUUAUAAACAAACCAGACUCGCUCGGGCCUCGUCGCGGUAUCGUUGUCGCGAAAAAUAAGUAAAAAAGGAGAUAAACAUCUGCACCGUUGCGAAAAGAGGGGGAGGGGGCGAUGGCACCCAUUCGCGAAUAGAAUGUUAGAUCAUUGCGAACGUGAGCGUCAAAUUCCAUCGCGGCUGCGAACGUCUUCCAACCCGUUUCCUCGCGGAAACGGCUCAAGAUAUAGGAACGAGCUUUUGCCACAAUAUAGUCCUAUCUCAACCCUAUUCUCACAAUAAAUCUCGACUCCCAAUUCCCAGUUUAAACUGGGAAUUGGGAUUCGGUUUUCUCGAUUGUUUGCGCAAUUUCAAGUGGCCAUAAUAUAUGGCGAUAA
rnacentral:lncRNA from 1 species